rnacentral:sRNA from 1 species
UUGGGAGAGCGUCUGUAGCUUCCUUGUGUCCGGCCGACAGCUGCAGCCCGGGGAGCCAGAUGCAGAAACUGAAGAUGAGCACUCUGUGACUGAAGGGCCUGCGGAUGAAGUCAUUCGACCACGGCCACAGGGGUCUUCACCUGUCUACGAAUACACGACUGAGGCUGCUGACUUUGGACUCCAGGAAGACGCCCCCGGCAGGCAAGGUUCUGCUGGGAGACGGAGAUCCUGGUGGAAGCGAGAUUCAGGGGACUCACGGACAUUUUUCAGGAUGAGUCGUCCAGAGGCCGCCCAGGAGGCAACAGAGGUGACGCUGAAGACAGAGGUGGAGGCAGGAGCCAGUGGCUACAGUGUCACAGGUGGUGGGGACCAGGGGAUCUUCGUCAAGCAAGUGCUGAAGGACUCCUCAGCCGCCAAGCUUUUUAACUUGAGAGAAGGGGAUCAGCUGCUCAGUGCAACCGUGUUCUUUGACAACAUAAAAUAUGAAGAUGCUCUCAAAAUCCUUCAAUACUCAGAGCCAUACAAGGUUCAGUUCAAAAUCCGACGGCAGCUCCCUGCCCCACAGGAUGAAGAGUGGGCUUCCAGCGAUGCCCAGCACGGCCCACAGGAUAAGGAGAAGGAGGUGAGACCACUAUGCCCGCGAGGCAGGGCCCCAGCUGGCUUCACUAUCCUGCUGGCUGAGCCUGGGAGGGGAUAGCACUCCCACCCCAUCUGUCCCUGGGCCAGGGCCUCAGGCUUCUUGGACUGGCACUAACAGAUUCCCUCUCCCUAUGUUUCAGGACACAGAUGUUGCUGAUGGGUGCAGAGAGACCCCCACGAAAACUCUGGAAGGAGAUGGGGACCAAGAGAGACUCAUCCCCCAACCCAGGGUGGGUAGAGGCAGGCAGACCCAGAGGGAGAGGCUCUCUUGGCCAAAAUUUCAAUCCAUAAAGAGCAAGCGGGGGCCAGGACCCCAGAGGUCACACAGCUCGUCAGAGGCCUACGAGCCCAGGGAUACACAUGACGUGUCCCCUACAAGCACAGACACAGAGGCCCAGCUCACGGUGGAGCGCCAAGAGCAGAAGGCAGGGCCGGGCAGCCAGAGGAGGCGGAAGUUCCUCAACCUGAGAUUCAGGACAGGCUCGGGACAGGGCCCUUCAUCGACAGGACAGCCAGGCAGGGGGUCCCAGAGUGGGGUGGGCCGUGCUGGGGUCCUGGAAGAGUUGGGGCCCUGGGGUGAUGGCCUCGAGGACACUGGGGCUGCCAGAGGCAGCAGGAGAGAGGACAGAGCAGAACAGGAUCGAGAAGUGAUGCCUGCUCAGAGCAUGCAGUUGCCCACAGAGCUCGGUGACCCUAGACUUUGCGAGGGAACCCCUCAGGAAGGGGGACUCAGGGCAGCCAGGCUCCACGGAAAGACCCUGGAGGGGCAGGCACAGGAGACAGCACUGGCCCAGAGGAAGCCCAGGGCCCAGCCAGCUCCUGGAAUCAGCCGGGAGGGUGAAGGCGAAGGACUGCAGAGCCUGGAAAUCGGGAUCGCCAGACUGUCCUUGAGAGACAGAACCGAAGGAGGCACACAGAUCAGCCCACCAGAAAUUAGGGUGCGAAUACACGAUUUAAAGACACCAAAAUUUGCAUUUUCCACAGAAAAAGAGCCAGAAAGAGAAAGGCGCCUUAGUACCCCACAGCGAGGGAAGAGACAGGAUGCGUCCUCAAAAGCGGCUACUGGCCUGAAGGGUGAGGAGGUGGAAGGAGCAGGGUGGGUGCCGGGUAGUGAACCAACCACACAUGCAGAAGCACAGGAGGGUGAAGGAGAUGGAGAGGAAGGACUACAGAGGACAAGGAUCACUGAGGAACAGGACAAGGACGGGGAAGACACAGAAGGACAGAUGAGAAUGCCCAAGUUCAAGAUACCCUCCUUAGGAUGGUCGCCAAGCAAGCACACAAAGACAGGCAGAGAAAAAGCCACACAAGACACACAGCAGCGAAGGGCAGGACAGGCCAUAGAAACAGCCGACAGAAGAGAACAGAGAACAGAGGAAGGAUUAAAAGACAAAGAAGACAGUGACUCAAUGACAAACACAACAAAAAUACAACUAACACACGACGAAAAACGCUUAAAAAAGGAAGAAAUUCUGAAAGAAAAGGACGUGGCCGCCAAAGACAGCAGGUUCAAAAUGCCCAAAUUCAAGAUGCCGUCGUUCGGGGUAUCGGCCCCAGGGAAGUCCAUCGAGGCCUCGGUGGAUGUGUCUGCACCCAAGGUGGAGGCCGACGUGAGCCUCCCCUCCAUGCAGGAGGAACGCAAGACCACUGACCUCAGCAUUCAGCCCCCUUCUGCCGACCUGAAAGUCCAGGCUGGCGAGGUGGAUGUGAAGCUCCCGGAGGGCCCUGUGCCCGAUGGAGCCAGCCUCAAAGGGCACAUGCCCAAGGUGGAGAUGCCCAAAGUGGACCUCAAGGGCCCCAAGGUGGACGACAAGGGCCCCAAGCUGGACCUGAAAGGCCCCAAGGCAGAGGUGACGGCCCCCAACGUGGAGGUGUCUCUGCCCAGCGUGGAGGUGGACGUCGAGGCCCCGAAAGCCAAGCUGGACAGUGCGCGGCUGGAGGGUGACCUGUCCCUGGCCGACAAGGAUGUGACUGCCAAAGACAGCAAGUUCAAAAUGCCCAAGUUCAAGAUGCCAUCGUUCGGGCUGUCGACCUCAGGCAAGUCCAUCGAGGCCUCGGUGGAUGUGUCUGCUCUGAAGGUGGAGGCCGACGUGAGCCUCCCCUCCAUGCAGGGGGACCUCAAGGCCACUCACCUCAGCAUUCAGCCCCCUUCCGCUGACCUGGAGGUUCAGGCUGGCCAGGUGGACGUGAAGCUCCCAGAGGGCCCCGUGCCCGACAGAGCCGGCCUCAAAGGGCACCUGCCCAAGGUGCAGGUGCCCAGUUUCAAGAUGCCCAAAGUGGACCUCAAGGGCCCCCAGAUAGAUGUUAAGGGCCCCAAGCUGGACCUGAAAGGCCCCAAGGCGGAAGUGACAGCCCCCGAUAUCGAGGUGUCUCUGCCCAGCAUGGAGGUGGAUGUCCAAGCCCCUAAGGCCAAGCUGGAUGGUGCAGGGCUGGAGGGAGAUCUGUCCCUGGCUGACAAGGACGUGACUGCCAAAGACAGCAAGUUCAAAAUGCCCAAAUUCAAGAUGCCGUCGUUCGGGGUAUCGGCCCCAGGGAAGUCCAUCGAGGCCUCGGUGGAUGUGUCUGCACCCAAGGUGGAGGCCGACAUGAGCCUCCCCUCCAUGCAGGGGGACCUGAAGACCGCUGACCUCAGCAUUCAGCCCCCUUCUGCCGAACUGAAGGUCCAGGCUGGCCAGGUGGAUGUGAAACUCCCAGAGGGCCACAUGCCCGAGGGAGCCGGCCUCAAAGGGCACCUGCCCAAGGUGGAGAUGCCCAGUUUGAAGAUGCCCAAAGUGGACCUCAAGGUCCCCAAGGUGGACGACAAGGGCCCCAAGCUGGACCUAAAAGACUCCAAGGUGGAAGUGAGAGUCCCCGAUGUUGAGGUGUCUCUGCCCAGCGUGGAGGUGGACGUCCAGGCCCCGAAGGCCAAGCUGGAUAGUGCGCAGCUGGAGGGGGAUGUGUCCCUGGUCGACAAGGACGUGACUGCCAAAGACAGCAAGUUCAAAAUGCCCAAGUUCAAGAUGCCGUCCUUCGGGGUGUCUGCCCCAGACAAGUCCAUCGAGGCCUCGGUGGACGUGUCUGCACCCAAGGUGGAGGGCGACGUGAGCCUCCCCUCCAUGCAGGGGGACCUGAAGACCACUCACCUCAGCAUUCAGACCCCUUCCGCCGACCUGGAGGUUCGGGCUGGCCAGGUGGAGGUGAAGCUCCCAGAGGGCCACUUGCCCGAGGGAGCCGGCCUUAAAGGGCACCUGCCCAAGGUGCAGAUGCCCAGUUUCAAGAUGCCCAAAGUGGACCUCAAGGGUCCCCAGAUAGAUGUUAAGGGCCCCAAGCUGGACCUGAAAGGCCCCAAGGCGGAAGUGACAGCCCCCGAUAUCGAGGUCUCUCUGCCCAGCAUGGAGGUGGAUGUCCAGGCCCCGAAGGCCAAGCUGGAUGGUGCAGGGCUGGAGGGAGACCUGUCCCUGGCUGACAAGGACGUGACUGCCAGAGACAGCAAGUUCAAAAUGCCCAAAUUCAAGAUGCCGUCGUUCGGGGUAUCGGCCCCAGGGAAGUCCAUCGAGGCCCCAGUGGAUGUGUCUGCACCCAAGGUGGAGGCCGACGUGAGUCUCCCCUCCAUGCAGGGGGACCUGAAGACCGCUGACCUCAGCAUUCAGCCCCCUUCUGCCGACCUGAAGGUCCAGGCUGGCCAGGUGGAUGUGAAGCUCCCGGAGGGCCAUGUGCCCGAGGGAGCCGGCCUCAAAGGACACCUGCCCAAGGUGCAGGUGCCCAGUUUGAAGAUGCCCAAAGUGGACCUCAGGGGCCCCCAGCUGGACGUCAAGGGCCCCAAGCUGGACCUGAAAGGCCCCAAGGCGGAAGUCACAGCCUCUGAUGUGGAGGUGUCUCUGCCCAGCGUGGAGGUAGACAUGCAGGCCCCAGGAGCUGAGCUGGGUGGUACGUGGCUGGAGGAGGACCUGUCCCUGGCCAACAAGGACGUGACUGCCAAAGACAGCAAGUUCAAAAUGCCCAAGUUCAAGAUGCCGUCCUUCGGGGUGUCCGCCCCAGGCAAGUCCAUCGAGGCCUUGGUGGAUGUGUCUGUGCCGAAGGUGGAGGCCGAUGUGAGCCUCCCCUCCAUGCAGGAGGAACGCAAGACCACUGACCUCAGCAUUCAGCCCCCUUCCGCCGACCUGAAGGUCCAAGCUGGCCAGGUGGAUGUGAAGCUCCCAGAGGGCCACAUGCCCAAAGGAACUGGCCUCAAAGGGCACCUGCCCAAGGUGCAGGUGCCCAGUUUCAAGAUGCCCAAAGUGGAUCUCAAGGGCCCCCAGAUGGACGUCAAGGGCCCCAAGCUGGACCUGAAAGGCCCCAAGGCGGAGGUGACGGCCCCCGACAUGGAGGUGUCUCUGCCCAGCGUGGAGGUGGACGUCGAGGCCCCGGGAGCCAAGCUGGACAGUGCGCGGCUGGAGGGUGACCUGUCCGUGGCCGACAAGGACGUGACUGCCAAAGACAGCAAGUUCAAAAUGCCCAAGUUCAAGAUGCCAUCGUUCGGGGUGUCGGUCCCAGGCAAGUCCAUCGAGACCUCGGUGGAUGUGUCUGGGCCAAAGGUGGAGGCCGACGUGAGCCUCCCCUCCAUGCAGGGGGACCUCAAGACCACUGACCUCAGCAUUCAGCCCCCUUCCGCUGACCUGGAGGUUCAGGCUGGCCAGGUGACCGUGAAGCUCCCGGAGGGCCCCGUGUCCGAGGGAGCUGGCCUCAAAGGACGCCUGCCAAAGGUGGAGAUGCCCGGUUUCAAGAUGCCCAAAGUGGACCUCAAGGGCCCCCAGGUGGAUCUGAAGGGUCCCAAGGCAGAGGUCACGGCCCACGACGUGGAUGUGUCUCUACCCAGCAUGGAGGCGGACAUCCAGGCCCCAGCAGCGAAGCUGGAUGGCGUGCGGCUGGACGGGGACCUGUCCCUGGCCGACAAGGACGUGACGGCCAAAGACAGCAAGUUCAAAAUGCCCAAGUUCAAGAUGCCGUCCUUCGGGGUGUCUUCCCCAGGCAAGUCCAUUGAGGCCUCAGAGGAUGUGUCUGCACCGAAGGUGGAGGCCGACAUGAGCCUCCCGUCCAUGCAGGGAGAACUCAAGGCCACUGACCUAAGGGUUCAGCCCCAUUCCGCUGACCUGGAGGUCCAGGCUGGCCAAGUGGUCCUGAAACUCCCAGAGGGCCCCGUGCCCGAGGGAGCAGGACUCAAAGGACACCUGCCCAAGGUGCAGAUGCCCAGUUUCAAGAUGCCCAAAGUGGACCUCAAGGGCCCCCAUAUAGAUGUUAAGGGCCCCAAGCUGGACCUGAAAGGCCCCAAGGCGGAAGUGACAGCCCCCAAUGUUGAGGUGUCUCUGCCCAGCAUGGAGGUGGAUGUCCAGGCCCCGAAGGCCAAGCUGGAUGGUGCAGAGCUGCAGGGAGACCUGUCCCUGGCUGACAAGGACGUGACUGCCAAAGACAGCAAGUUCAAAAUGCCCAAGUUCAAGAUGCCGUCAUUUGGGGUGUCUGCCCCAGGGAAGUCCAUCGAGGCCUCGGUGGAUGUGUCUGCACCCAAGGUGGAGGCCGACGUGAGUCUCCCCUCCAUGCAGGGGGACCUGAAGACCACUCACCUCAGCAUUCAGCCCCCUUCCGCCGACCUGGAGGUUCAGGCUGGCCAGGUGGACGUGAAGCUCCCGGAAGGCCACUUGCCCGAGGGAGCCAGCCUUAAGGGGCACCUGCCCAAGGUGCAGAUGCCAAGUUUCAAGAUUCCCAAAGUGGACCUCAAGGGUCCCCAGAUAGAUGUUAAGGGCCCCAAGCUGGACCUGAAAGGCCCCAAGGUCGAAGUCACAGCCUCUGAUAUGGAGGUGUCUCUGCCCAGCGUGGAGGUAGACAUGCAGGCCCCAGGAGCUGAGCUGGGUGGUGCGCGGCUGGAGGGGGACCUGUCCCUGGCUGACAAGGACGUGACUGCCAAAGACAGCAAGUUCAAAAUGCCCAAGUUCAAGAUGCCGUCCUUUGGGGUGUCCGCCCCAGGCAAGUCCAUCGAGGCCUCGGUGGACGUGUCUGCACCCAAGGUGGAGGCCGAUGUGAGUCUCCCCUCCAUGCAGGGGGACCUGAAGACCACUGACCUCAGCAUUCAGCCCCCUUCCGUCGACCUGAAGGUCCAGGCUGGCCAGGUGGACGUGAAGCUCCCGGAGGGCCACAUGCCUAAAGGAACUGGUCUCAAAGGGCACCUGCCCAAGGUGCAGAUGCCCAGCUUCAAGAUGCCCAAAGUGGAUCUCAAGGGCCCCCAGAUAGACAUCAAGGGCCCCAAGCUGGACCUGAAAGGCCCCAAGGCGGAGGUGACGGCCCCCGACGUGGAGGUGUCUCUGCCCAGCAUGGAGGUGGACGUCGAGGCCCCGGGAGCCAAGCUGGACAGUGCGCGGCUGGAGGGUGACCUGUCCCUGGCCGACAAGGAUGUGACUGCCAAAGACAGCAAGUUCAAAAUGCCCAAGUUCAAGAUGCCAUCAUUCGGGGUGUCGGCCCCAGGCAAGUCCAUCGAGGCCUCAGUGGAUGUGUCUGUCCCGAAGGUGGAGGCCGACGUGAGUCUCCUUUCCAUGCAGGGGGACCUCAAGACCACUGACCUCAGCAUUCAGCCCCCUUCCGCUGACCUGGAGGUCCAGGCUGGCCAGGUGGACUUGAAGCUUCCAGAAGGCCACAUGCCCGAGGGAGCCGGCCUCAAAGGGCACCUGCCCAAGGUGGAGAUGCCCAGUUUCAAGAUGCCCAAAGUGGACCUCAAGGGUCCCCAGGUGGACGUCAGGGGCCCCAAGCUGGACCUGAAAGGUCCCAAGGUAGAGGUCACGGCCCACGACGUGGACGUGUCUCUGCCCAGCGUGGAGGUGGACAUCCAGGCCCCGGGAGCGAAGCUGGAUGGCGUGCAGCUGGAGGGGGAUCUGUCCCUGGCCGACAAGGACGUGACGGCCAAGGACAGCAAGUUCAAAAUGCCCAAGUUCAAGAUGCCGUCAUUUGGGGUGUCGGCCCCAGGGAAGUCCAUCGAGGCCUCCGUGGACCUGUCUGCACCCAAGGUGGAGGCCGACGUGAGCCUCCCCUCCAUGCAGGGGGACCUGAAGACCACUGACCUCAGCAUUCAGCCCCCUUCCGCUGACCUGGAGCUCCAGGCUGGCCAGGUGGACGUGAAACUCCCGGAGGGCCCCGUGCACGAGGGAGCCGGCCUCAAAGGGCACCUGCCCAAGCUGCAGAUGCCCAGUUUCAAGGUGCCCAAAGUGGACCUCAAGGGCCCCCAAAUAGACAUCAAGGGCCCCAAGCUGGACCUAGAAGACCCCAAGGUGGAAGUGACAGCCCCCGAUGUGGAGGUGUCUCUGCCCAGCAUGGAGGUGGACGUUGAGGCCCCAAAAGCCAAGCUGGAUGGUGCGCGGCUGGAGGGGGACCUGUCCCUGGCCGACAAGGAUGUGACUGCCAAAGACAGCAAGUUCAAAAUGCCCAAGGUCAAGAUGCCAUCGUUCGGGGUGUCGGCCCCAGGCAGGUCCAUCGAGGCCUCGGUGGACAUGUCUGCACCCAAGGUGGAGGCCGAUGUGAGCCUCCCCUCCAUGCAGGGGGACCUGAAGACCACUCACCUCAGCAUUCAGCCCCCUUCUGCCGACCUGGAGGUUCAGGCUGGCCAGGUGGACGUGAAGCUCCCAGAGGGCCACUUGCCCGAGGGAGCCGGGCUUAAAGGGCACCUGCCCAAGGUGCAGAUGCCCAGUUUCAAGAUGUCCAAAGUGGACCUCAAGGGUCCCCAGAUAGAUGUUAAGGGCCCCAAGCUGGACCUGAAAGGCCCCAAGGCGGAAGUGACAGCCCCCGAUAUCGAGGUGUCUCUGCCCAGCAUGGAGGUGGAUGUCCAGGUCCCGAAGGCCAAGCUGGAUGGUGCAGGGCUGGAGGGAGACCUGUCCCUGGCUGACAAGGACGUGACUGCCAAAGACAGCAAGUUCAAAAUGCCCAAAUUCAAGAUGCCGUCGUUCAGGGUAUCGGCCCCAGGGAAGUCCAUCGAGGCCUCGGUGGAUGUGUCUGCACCUAAGGUGGAGGCCGAUGUGAGUCUCCCCUUCAUGCAGGGGGACCUGAAGACCACUGACCUCAGCAUUCAGCCCCCUUCCGUCGACCUGAAGGUCCAAGCUGGCCAGGUGGACCUGAAGCUCCAGGAGGGCCACAUGCCCAAAGGAACUGGUCUCAAAGGGCACCUGCCCAAGGUGCAGAUGCCCAGUUUCAAGAUGCCCAAAGUGGAUCUCAAGGGCCCCCAGAUAGAUGUCAAGGGCCCCAAGCUGGACCUGAAAGGCCCCAAGGCGGAGGUGACGGCCCCCGACGUGGAGGUGUCUCUGCCCAGCGUGGAGGUGGACGUCGAGGCCCCGGGAGCCAUGCUGGACAGUGCGCGGCUGGAGGGUGACCUGUCCCUGGCCGACAAGGACGUGACUGCCAAAGAUAGCAAGUUCAAAAUGCCCAAGUUCAAGAUGCCAUCAUUCAGGGUGUCGGCCCCAGGCAAGUCCAUCGAGGCCUCGGUGGAUGUGUCUGUGCCGAAGGUGGAGGCCGACGUGAGUCUCCUUUCCAUGCAGGGGGACCUCAAGACCACUGACCUCAGCAUUCAGCCCCCUUCUGCUGACCUGGAGGUCCAGGCUGGCCAGGUGGACUUGAAGCUUCCAGAAGGCCACAUGCCCGAGGGAGCCGGCCUCAAAGGGCACCUGCCCAAGGUGGAGAUGCCCAGUUUCAAGAUGCCCAAAGUGGACCUCAAGGGCCCCCAGGUGGACGUCAGGGGCCCCAAGCUGGACCUGAAAGGUCCCAAGGUAGAGGUCACAGCCCACGACGUGGAUAUGUCUCUGCCCAGCGUGGAGGUGGACAUCCAGGCCCCGGGAGCGAAGCUGGAUGGCGCGCGGCUGGAGGGUGACCUGUCCCUGGCCGACAAGGACGUGACGGCCAAGGACAGCAAGUUCAAAAUGCCCAAGUUCAAGAUGCCGUCAUUUGGGGUGUCGGCCCCAGGGAAGUCCAUCGAGGCCUCCGUGGACCUGUCUGCACCCAAGGUGGAGGCCGACGUGAGCCUCCCCUCCAUGCAGGGGGACCUGAAGACCACUGACCUCAGCAUUCAGCCCCCUUCCGCUGACCUGGAGCUCCAGGCUGGCCAGGUGGACGUGAAACUCCUGGAGGGCCCCGUGCACGAGGGAGCCGGCCUCAAAGGGCACCUGCCCAAGCUGCAGAUGCCCAGUUUCAAGGUGUCCAAAGUGGACCUCAAGGGCCCCCAAAUAGACAUCAAGGGCCCCAAGCUGGACCUAGAAGACCCCAAGGUGGAAGUGACAGCCCCCGAUGUGGAGGUGUCUCUGCCCAGCGUGGAGGUGGAUGUCAGGGCCCCGAAAGCCAAGCUGGAUGGUGCGCGGCUGGAGGGGGACCUGUCCCUGGCCGACAAGGAUGUGACUGCCAAAGACAGCAAGUUCAAAAUGCCCAAGUUCAAGAUGCCAUCGUUCGGGGUGUCGGCCCCAGGCAAGUCCAUCGAGGCCUCGGUGGAUAUGUCUGCACCCAAGGUGGAGGCCGAUGUGAGCCUCCCCUCCAUGCAAGGGGACCUGAAGACCACUCACCUCAGCAUUCAGACCCCUUCCGCCGACCUGGAGGUUCAGGCUGGCCAGGUGGACGUGAAGCUCCCAGAGGGCCAAUUGCCCGAGGGAGCCGGCCUCAAAGGGCACCUGCCCAAGGUGCAGAUGCCCAGUUUCAAGAUGCCCAAAGUGGACCUCAAGGGUCCCCAGAUAGAUGUUAAGGGCCCCAAGCUGGACCUGAAAGGCCCCAAGGCGGAAGUGACAGCCCCCAAUAUCGAGGUGUCUCUGCCCAGCAUGGAGGUGGGUGUCCAGGUCCCGAAGGCCAAGCUGGAUGGUGCAGGGCUGGAGGGAGACCUGUCCCUGGCUGACAAGGACGUGACUGCCAAAGACAGCAAGUUCAAAAUGCCCAAAUUCAAGAUGCCGUCGUUCGGGGUAUCGGCCCCAGGGAAGUCCACCGAGGCCUCGGUGGAUGUGUCUGCACCCAAGGUGGAGGCCGACGUGAGCCUCCCCUCCAUGCAGGGGGACCUGAAGACCGCUGACCUCAGCAUUCAGCCCCCUUCUGCCGACCUGAAGGUCCAGGCUGGCCAGGUGGAUGUGAAGCUCCCGGAAGGCCACGUGCUCGAGGGAGCCGGCCUCAAAGGACAUCUGCCCAAGGUGCAGAUGCCCAGUUUGAAGAUGCCCAAAGUGGACCUCAAGGGCCCCCAGGUGGACGUCAAGGGCCCCAAGCUGGACCUGAAAGGCCCCAAGGCAGAAGUCACAGCCUCUGAUGUGGAGGUGUCUCUGCCCAGCGUGGAGGUAGACAUGCAGGCCCCAGGAGCUGAGCUGGGUGGUGCGCGGCUGGAGGGGGAUGUGUCCCUGGCCGACAAGGACGUGACUGCCAAAGACAGCAAGUUCAAAAUGCCCAAGUUCAAGAUGCGGUCCUUUGGGGUGUCCGCCGCAGGCAAGUCCAUUGAGGCCUCGGUGGAUGUGUCUGUGCCGAAGGUGGAGGCCGAUGUGAGCCUCCCCUCCAUGCAGGAGGAUCUCAAGACCAGUGACCUCAGCAUUCAGCCCCCUUUGGCUGACCUGAAGGUCCAAGCUGGCCAGGUGGAUGUGAAGCUCCCGGAGGGCCACAUGCCCAAAGGAACUGGCCUCAAAGGGCACCUGCCCAAGGUGCAGAUGCCCAGUUUAAAGAUGCCCAAAGUGGACCUCAAGGGCCCCCAGGUGGACGUCAAGGGCCCCAAGCUGCACCUGAAAGGCCCAAAGGCAGAGGUGACGGCCCCCGACAUGGAGGUGUCUCUGCCCAGCGUGGAGAUGGAUGUCCAGGCCCCUGGAUCCAUGGUGGACGGCGCGCAGCUUGAGGGGGACCUGUCCCUGGCCCACGAGGAUGUAGCUGCGAAAGACAGUAAGUUUCAAGGGCCAAAACUGAGCACCUCUGGUUUUGAAUGGUCGUCAAAGAAAGUUUCCAUGUCUUCCUCUGAAAUCGAAGGACAUGUUACAUUCCAUGAGAAGACUUCCGCAUUUCCCAUUGUGGAAUCUGUUGUUUGUGAAGGUGAUCUUCAUGAUGCAUCUCGCGAUGGUAACUUGGGGCUUGCUGUUGGAGAAGUUGGAGUGGAUUCGAAGUAUAAGAAACUGCAUUUGAAAAUGCCCAAAGUUUCAUUUUCUUCUACCAAAACUCCUAAAGAUAGUUUAGUCUCAGGUGCAAAGUCUAGCAUAGGUGUUUCCACGAUUCCCUUAUCAUCUUCAGAAUCCUCAAGUUUUGAAUUACAACAGGUUUCAGCUGGUUCAGAGCCAUCCAUGCAGAUGCCUAAGGUUGGUUUGGCUGGGUUUCCAUCAUCCCGGCUUGAUCUCACUGGUCCUCACUUUGAAUCUUCUAUUCUCUCUCCCUGUGAGGAUGUUACACUUACAAAAUACAAGGUGACUGUUCCCAGAGCUGCCUUGGCCCCUGAGCUUGCUCUGGAAAUUCCUUCUGGGUCUCAGGCUGAUAUUCCUCUUCGCAAGACAGAGUGCUCCGCUGACCUGCAGCCUCCAGAGGGAGUUCCAACAUCUCAAACUGAGAGUCACUCUGGCCCACUGAAUUCCAUGAUUCCUGUUUCUCUUGGUCAGGUGUCUUUUCCUAAAUUCUAUAAACCAAAGUUUGUGUUUUCAGUCCCCCAAAUGGCAGUUCCUGAGGGAGACCUACAUGCAGCAGUGGGUGCCCCAGUCAUGUCUCCUCUUGGCCCUGGAGAAGGAGUGCAGUGCCCCUUGCCAAGCACCCAGCUGCCAUCCCCAGGCACCUCUGUGUCCCAGGGCCCGGAAGAGCUUGUGGCCUCCUUGCAGACAUCAGUAGUGGCCCCUGGAGAAGCCCCUUCUGAAGAUGCUGACCACGAAGGGAAAGGGAGUCCCUUGAAAAUGCCUAAGAUUAAGCUUCCAUCAUUUAGGUGGUCCCCGAAGAAGGAAGCAGGGCCAAAGAUGGACCCAGAAUGCAGCAUGGAGGACUCAAAACUCAGCCUGGUUUUAGACAAGGAUGAAGUGGCACCGCAGUCUGCCAUCCACAUGGAUCUGCCUCCUGAGAGGGAUGGAGAGAAGGGAAAGAGCACAAAGCCUGGCUUUGCCAUGCCAAAACUUGCACGUCCCAAAAUGAAGGCUUCUAAGAGUGGGGUCAGCCUGCCACAGAGAGACAUGGAUCCUUCUCUUUCUAGUGCCACAGCAGGGGGUAGCUUUCAAGACACAGAAAAGGCCAGCAGUGACGGUGGUAGGGGAGGACUUGGUGCAACAGCAAGUGCCACAGGAGGUGAGGGUGUGAACCUCCACCGGCCACAGGUCCACAUUCCCAGUUUGGGCUUUGCCAAACCUGAUCUCAGAUCCUCCAAGGCCAAGGUGGAGGUGAGCCAGCCUGAAGCUGACCUGCCUCUUCCUAAACAUGAUCCGUCUACCGAAGGUGACAGCAGAGGAUGUGGGCUCGGGGAUGUCCCAGCAAGCCAGCCUUGUGGGGAGGGGAUAGCCCCCACACCUGAAGACCCCCUCCAGCCAUCCUGUAGAAAACCAGAUGCUGAAGUCCCCACAGUGGAAAGCCCAGAGGAGGAAGCCACGACCAGGGACUCGCAGGAAAGCUGGUUUAAAAUGCCCAAGUUCCGCAUGCCCAGCCUUAGGCGCUCUUCCAGGGACAGAGGCGGGGCGGGAAAGCCGGAAGUGGCUCAGACACAGGCACCGGCAGCAACAGGGGGUGAAGCAGCAGCUAAAGUCAAACAGUUCCUUGUUUCUGGGUCAAACGUGGAGGCAAGUAUGUCCCUACAGCUCCCAGAGGCAGAUGCAGAAGUGACAGCUUCUGAGAGCAAAUCAUUCACAGAUAUUCUAAGCUGUGAUCUUGACAGCACAGGCUUGAAGCUGCACCUCUCCACUGCUGGGAUGACUGGGGAUGAGCUUUCCACUUCUGAGGUCAGGAUCCAUCCAUCCAAAGGACCUCUCCCUUUUCAGAUACCUGGGAUGAGGCUUCCAGAAACCCAGGUUCUUCCAGGAGAAAUCGAUGAGACUCCUCUUUCCAAGCCAGGACAUGACCUUGCCAGCAUGGAGGAUAAAACAGAGAAAUGGUCUCCCCAGCCUGAAGGUCCACUUAAAUUGAAAGCUUCAAGUACUGAUAUGCCGUCCCAGAUUUCUGUGGUUAAUGUGGAUCAACUGUGGGAAGAUUCUGUCCUAACUGUCAAAUUCCCCAAAUUAAUGGUACCCAGGUUCUCCUUCCCUGCCCCCAGCUCAGAGGAUGAUGUGUUCAUCCCCACUGUGAGGGAAGUGCAGUGUCCAGAGGCCAAUAUUGAUACAGCCCUUUGUAAGGAAAGUCCGGGGCUCUGGGGAGCCAGCAUCCUGAAGGCAGGUGCUGGGGUCCCCGGGGAGCAGCCUGUGGACCUUAACCUGCCUUUGAAAGCUCCCCCAAUUUCAAAGGUCAGAGUGCAUAUUCAGGGUGCUCAGGUUGAAAGUCAAGAGGUCACUAUACACAGCAUAGUGACACCAGAGUUUGUAGAUCUCUCAGCACCCAGGACUUUUUCCACUCAGAUUGUGCGGGAAUCAGAGAUCCCCACAUCUGAGAUUCAAACACCUUCGUAUGGAUUUUCCUUAUUAAAAGUGAAAAUCCCAGAGCCCCACACGCAGGCUAGAGUGUACACAACAAUGACUCAACACUCUAGGACUCAGGAGGGUGCAGAAGAGGCUCCCAUACAAGCCACCCCAGGAGUAGACUCCGUUUCUGGAGAUCUCCAGCCUGACACUGGAGAACCAUUUGAGAUGAUCUCUUCCAGCAUCAAUGUACUGGGACAGCAAACACUCACAUUUGAAGUUCCUUCUGGCCACCAGCUUGCAGACAGCUGUUCAGAUGAGGAGCCAGCAGAAAUUCUUGAGUUUCCCCCUGAUGAUAGCCAAGAGGCAACCACACCACUGGCAGAUGAAGGCAGGGCUCCAAAAGACAAAUCAGAAAGUAAAAAAUCUGGUCUGCUCUGGUUUUGGCUUCCAAACAUUGGGUUUUCCUCUUCUGUUGAUGAGACAGGUGUUGAUUCCAAAAAUGAUGUCCAGAGAUCUGCUCCCAUUCAAACACAGCCUGAGGCACGACCAGAGGCAGAACUGCCUAAAAAACAGGAGAAGGCAGGCUGGUUCCGAUUUCCCAAAUUAGGAUUCUCCUCAUCUCCUACCAAGAAAAGCAAAAACACCGAAGAUGAGGCAGAGCUGGAAGAACAAAAACUUCAAGAAGAAACAAUCACCUUUUUUGAUGCCCGAGAAAGUUUCUCCCCCGAAGAGAAGGAAGAGGGUGAACUGGUCGGGCCUGUGGGCACUGGGUUGGACUCCAGAGAGAUGGUGACAUCCGCGGCAAGAACAGAGUUAAUCCUGCUAGAGCAGGACAGAAAAGCUGAUGAUGAAGGCAAAGGCUCAGGCCUGGGACCAAAUGAAGGCUGAGAGGUAUGGCUCGUCAGUACAAGAGAGAUGCAAACAACUAAGUUGGAAAGUAAAGCCUACACACACAUAUGGAGCACCCCAUCCCACAGCCCAUUACAUCCACCUCACUUCACAGAACUGAGAACAGGGCAGAAAUGACCAGAACAUCUUUGUCACCAUCACACAGCCCUCCUAAAAUGGAACCAAAGCUUCCCAGCUCCCUCAAAGCUUUGGAUGCAAAGAAGGCACCCUGACUUCCACAAGACACCAGAAUUCACACGGUACUCAGAGGCACUGCUGGGGAAGUUUGUUGGUCUUUAUUAGAUAAAUUUCCAGAGACCUGUCCAUAAUACCCAACAGAACAUGACUGUUUCUUUGAGGAAAGGAUUAUAAUGUCUGUGGUGGACAAGUAGUUUUUGGUAUAACUUCUUUCCUGCUGCUGCUGCUUCCCGGCAAACAUAGGUUUCCUAUUUCAGGCAGAGUGUGGUAUAUUCCAGGAAACACUGUUUCCUACUCACUUAGCUUACUUCUUUGUUGAAUGCCUCACUAAUGGCAAGCUUCAAGAUGUUUUGGGUGACAAUGCACACAUGCUGGGCAAAAGGGUGAUGGCCAGUGGCUGGCAGCCGGGCCAGCAGAAGCUAGGACAUCUGUGAGUUGUCAUUCUCAUCUAUCCAUGUCCACUAGCCUGCCAGCAUCCGCCAGUGCCUUGCCAGCGUGCACGGUCCCACACUGUGGCCCCUGAGUCCCCUAAUGUACACACUGCAGCCAGAAUGCAGAUGGAGCUGGCUUGGCUGUUCCCUGGAUGGGCAAUAAAGAAAGUGCUGCAUCUCAUGGUGAAGG